CCGAACGUGCAUCAAACUCAACA
rnacentral:snRNA from 1 species